rnacentral:rRNA from 1 species
GACGAACGCUGGCGGCGUGCCUAAUACAUGCCAGUAGAACGCACAGUUUAUACCGUAGCUUGCUACACCAUAGACUGUGAGUUGCGAACGGGUGAGUAACGCGUAGGUAACCUGCCUGGUAGCGGGGGAUAACUACUGGAAACGAUAGCUAAUACCGCAUAAUAUUAAUUAUUGCAUGAUAAUUAAUUGAAAGGUGCAAUUGCACCACUACCAGAUGGACCUGCGUUGUAUUAGCUAGUAGGUGAGGUAACGGCUCACCUAGGCGACGAUACAUAGCCGACCUGAGAGGGUGAUCGGCCACACUGGGACUGAGACACGGCCCAGACUCCUACGGGAGGCAGCAGUAGGGAAUCUUCGGCAAUGGACGAAAGUCUGACCGAGCAACGCCGCGUGAGUGAAGAAGGUUUUCGGAUCGUAAAGCUCUGUUGUAAGAGAAGAACGAGUGUGAGAGUGGAAAGUUCACACUGUGACGGUAUCUUACCAGAAAGGGACGGCUAACUACGU